GUGUCAGCCGCCGCGGUAAGACGGAGGGUGCUAGCGUUGUUCGGAAUCACUGGGCGUAAAGGGCGCGUAGGCGGCUUCAGGUGUCGGAUGUGAAAGCCCGGGGCUCAACCCCGGAGGUGCAUCCGAAACUCUGGAGCUGGAGGCCGGAAGAGGAGGGUGGAAUACCCAGUGUAGAGGUGAAAUUCGUAGAUAUUGGGUGGAACACCGGUGGCGAAAGCGGCUCUCUGGUCCGGUCCUGACGCUGAGGCGCGAAAGCGUGGGGAGCAAACAGGAUUAGAUACCCCCGUAGUCC
rnacentral:rRNA from 1 species